GAUGAACGCUGGCGGCGUGCCUAAUACAUGCAAGUCGAGCGAAUGGAUUAAGAGCUUGCUCUUAUGAAGUUAGCGGCGGACGGGUGAGUAACACGUGGGUAACCUGCCCAUAAGACUGGGAUAACUCCGGGAAACCGGGGCUAAUACCGGAUAACAUUUUGAACCGCAUGGUUCGAAAUUGAAAGGCGGCUUCGGCUGUCACUUAUGGAUGGACCCGCGUCGCAUUAGCUAGUUGGUGAGGUAACGGCUCCCCAAGGCAACGAUGCGUAGCCGACCUGAGAGGGGGAUCGGCCACACUGGGACUGAGACACGGCCCAGACUCCUACGGGAGGGAGCAGUAGGGAAUCUUCCGCAAUGGACGAAAGUCUGACGGAGCAACGCCGCGUGAGUGAUGAAGGCUUUCGGGUCGUAAAACUCUGUUGUUAGGGAAGAACAAGUGCUAGUUGAAUAAGCUGGCACCUUGACGGUACCUAACCAGAAAGCCACGGCUAACUACGUGCCAGCAGCCGCCGCCG
rnacentral:rRNA from 1 species